UAUUUGACAAUCAUGUCUACUUGGAAAGCCAUAUUGAGUAUUUCUGUUCAGUCAGCUACAAAGCACUGGUUACAGAGGAAUUUAUUGGGGGGGGGGGAGAGGGGUUACCAAAACAAGAUGCUGCUGUGAUUUACUGAUAUACAAGGCUGAUGCUGAAUUAAGCUUUAAUUCAGCUGUAGUUAGAGACCAGGUCUUUAUUAUCUUUUCAUAAACACAAGUACACAUACAUGCUCCCAGACACCCCUAAUUUUAUGUAAUUAAUUGGGCUCCUGGUUGGGGACUUUAAAUCGUUUGUGGUGUGGUUAAGUCAGACAUCAAAGACGGUGAGUAUGGCAGAGGAGUAGCUUGAGAGCAGUGUUUAUAACUUAUUAAUUAUAGAGUCUAAGGAUAUGUUACUGCUUGGUUAUUAAAUGAUAAUAGUAAUCUGAGCCAAUUUGAUUAUUCAAAUAUUUGUGCUUCCUGCAUGAAAGCUCUACUGUUGUAGAAAGAGAUUUUCUGAAUUCAUUAUUACCUGUAUGCAGUGGAGUUUUUGUUAUCUGUCUUUUUUUUUUUUUUUUUUUACUAAUUUUAGUACUGUGCACUUUAUUUCCUUUUAGCAGAUAUCUUAAGUUUUGCCUUUUGCAGGAAGGAUAGAUCUCACAGAGACUUUUGAGAUUUCUUUUGAGUAUCAUUUCUGUGAUCCUACCUUCCAUUUGUCUACUUUCCUAGCACGUUCUAUAAGUUUAUAUUCCCAAGGAUGUAUUUUUUCUUCAUAUACUUGAAAAUCCUCUGAUUAUACCAUGUACAACAUCAUGUAACAUCAAGAUUUCUUCCAGAAAGUCACAGAGUGAACUAAAUUCUGAGGACUAGGGCUCAAGCGAUCUGUUGCAACCAUGAAUCAUCUCUAGCAUCCAGGUAUCUUCAAUCUUGAUUCCUUAAUAGUUUUAUAAUAGUGUGGCAUUAAACUGUUCUCAAGCCAAGAACAACAGAGAGGAUGCAAUGAGCAAUGAGAUGCCCACUCAUUCAAUGUGUAUGAUACAUGAUGAUGAUGCCUUCUAGUUGGCAUCGAGGACAACACAAUGGACAGCAUAUACCUCAAGCUUAGAUAGUUCACAGUCUAAUGCUAUUCAUUUAUUUCUAUUUCAGUAUACAAUAGUAAUAGAAUAACAGAAUCCAUUGAAAGAAGUUACUCCUAAUGAGACGUUGUAUAUGAUAUUAAUCUUUUGUUCCAUUGAUACACAUUUCAAGUUUUAUUUUAACCUUACAAAUCAAAAGGCAUAAGUUAUCCUGCCCUAUUAUUUGUGUCUCAUUAUCCUGUGAAGUUCUUGGAAUGUCUUUGAUUCACCAAGUACAACUCAGCCUGCCAGAGGAGGGGCUGUAUUUCUUUUUGAUUUAUCCAACAACAGAGUGGAAUCAGGAGCAUUAUACCUAUCUACUAUUGCAGAUUUUAUAUUGUAAUAUUACUUAAAAAUGAUUUUUCUUAUAAGCUUAUUGUAUACUCUGGCAGAAAAAGAGGGGGCUUGCUUAUAUUAAUUUUUUUUCUGGGCCAUGUUUUACAUGUUAAAAGAUUUUGGCCUACACAUUCCAAACUAAAUGUUAUAAUAGCUAUUCCUUUUGAUAAUGAUGAUCUUUUUUUGCAGUAGUUUUAAUUUACUCACUAAGAAGUUACUUAAUGUCUUACUUAAUUGUCAUUGGCCUCUUUUCAUGAAUCAUUUAACCAGAAUAUACUGAAAUGAAGGCCUUGUUCAAGUAUGAUGAGAGAUACAUUUUUGAGUGCAGGCUGUAGUCAUAGUAUCUUUUCUCCUGGUGCCUAUGUCUUUUAACUUGCCUCAUCUAGCUUUGGUCAAUGUCGAAGUUACCUGCUUGAGUUAUGUAAGUGCCUCCUCUGGGUGGCUUCUAGGGGUACAUUGGUGCAGUAACCAGGAUAUUCAGAGAACAUAACCAUUCAUCCAGUAUGUAAAUAGUUUGCUUGUGUGUAUUUCUGUAUAUGCUGGUACACGUGCACAUGUAUAUAUUUGUGGAAUCCAGAGGCCAACUUCAAGGAUCAUUUCUGACAUUAUUAAUUGAGACAGGUGCUCUCUGUGACAUGGGGCUUGCCAAGUAAGAUAGACUGUUUGGCCACUGAGCCCCAAAUCUGCCUUUCUCUAUCUUCCCAGCACUGAGACUACAAGUGUACAUUGCAUCAUGCCUCUCUCUUAUUCAUGGAUUCUGUGGUUCAAAUUUAGGUCUUCAAGUUUGCCAGGCAAGCACUUUCCUGACUGGGGUAAACUUCAGCAUUGUGUAUUAAGAUUAUUGUAUUCGAAUUAUGCUGUAUUGUGUAUGGUGUGUUAGGGAAGAAGACUUAUUCACUCUUGUGCUGGACAGGAUUGCUCUGGACUGUCUUCCUUGAAGAUCAGCAUAAAUGUGAAUCAUGAUUAUUUGUUGUUUGAGGAAACAGCAAACAUCAUGAUGAGAAGUGUCUGUAGAUGCCACUUCACUGUGGUCAAGAGAGGGAUUCAUUUGAUGUUGCAUUUCAGUGAGGUACAGCUAGAAAUUUUUAGAGUUGUAAAUGUACACUUAACCUUCUUCAUGGUUGAAAGAAAAAGAGAGUGAAGUACAAAAGACUGAGAGUGAGAAGGCUGUAACUCAUGAGCCAAUAUAGUGCUGUACAAACUUUGACUUGUUUCCUAUAUUUUACUCUUCCUAUGGGGGGGGGGGAUGUUUCAAAAGCAUUUUUUCAAACACCUGUUUUUGGACAGUGGCCAUAAGCCUGGAGAUGUUGUGGAGUUGUAGAAACUAAACAUUAAUUAACAUGUAAUCCUUAUGUGCUCUUACUUUACUAACAAACUAAUGGAUUCAUAGCAAUAGUCAUAUUGAUACCUAUAAGAAGGUCACUUAUUCUUGUCCUUGUAACGUUUCGCCAGCAAAACAGACUUGGACAGCCAGAUCCUUCUAUGGCAAAGCUUUAUUGCUUACAUCUCAGGAAGACUUCGAAUACAGGAAACUCAGUCCUUUUAAAACCCACAAGAGUGGUUGGAGACGUGACUCACCCUGACUGGCUGCUCACUAUCAGCCCAGAUGACGCGCCACGGGACAGGCAGGGAACAAGGAAUGGAGAAAUACCCCAGCACAUACGCAGACUAAUUGUUUAUCAGUUAGAACACCGGAUAUGAUUGCAAGGGCGGCUCCUUACAACUUAUGAUUAACAAUGAAUGUAGUAAUAAUGAUUGGGAAAACUCCAAAAAAAAAAAAAAGCUCUGUUUUCAAGUGACUUGAUUUGGUUGAAUACUGAGGAUCAAAAAUCAGAUUUCUCAUAGUUUCAGCAGCUGAUCUCAAUGUAGGAGAAUCUACGCAGAUAAUCGCUUGGAAAAGUCAUUAAGAUAGGCUGUUAAACACUUCAGACUCAUCAAUGUACAAAUAUGCUGUAUGUUUUACACAUUUACAUUGAAAGGGUCUAUAAUCCUUUUGAGUCAAAUUGACUGUAAAACGAUUGUGAUUUUCAGUCUAUCCUAUUUUAUAACUUUUUUUGGGAAACAUGAUUUUAUCAAGGACUUAGAAUAUUUGGUCAUUAUACAUAAACAAAUAUACACAUACACAUAUACAUACAUAUACACAUGCACAAAGACAUUCCCUUAGUGUUUAUACUGACUUUGAAAAUACUGAAGUCAAUUUCUACUGCCUUUUCAUGUGAGACCUUAAUCCUUCCAGAUUUAAGUUAUUUUUCCACAUUUCAUUAUUGAUUCAGUUUGCUAAUUCUCAAAUAUUUUCCUAGGCCUUUUCAUCAGUGUUUUUGCUGCUGGGAUUGUUUACCAGACUCUUGUAUUUUAAAACACCUUUAAACAACGCAGAGCAUCUUAAAACUUGUCUUUAAUUAACACAGCUCUUUGGUUGCCUUCGCCUCCCUGAACCCAAUUGCACACGUGGCAAUUAGCUAUGUGGAAUGCUUUAUCAAAUGCCCAAUGGGCCGUACCCAUUGUAAAUUUCUAGGGAGUAGGGAAUGAAUUUUUGACUCAGUUGCCAUUUAUUAUUAUAAUUUUUUCUACUUCAGUUACAUACAGCAGAAUAUAAUGAGCCAGUGAUACAUACAGUGAGAAUACUAAAAGUAUGUUUGCUAAUGAUGUGUGGAGUAGAAGCGAGGCUGGAAAUCUGUGCUUAGAAAGGGUAGAGAUCCUCACUCUCACCAUUGGACUAAGGUCAGGGAUCCCUUUGGAAGAGCUGGGGGGAGGAUUAGAGGAGCUGAAUGGAACGGCAACCCCUUAGGAAGAGCAAUGUUGCCAACUAAUCCAGGCCCUUGGAAGCUCCCAGAGACUAAGCCACCAACCAAAGAGCAUACAUACAUGGGAUGGUCUGAGUCCCCAGCGUGUAUGUAGCAGAGAACUGCCUUGUUUGGCCUUGGUAGGAAAGGAUGUGCCUAAUCCUGUAGAAACUUGAUGCACCAGGGAAGGGGGAUAUCUGUGGGGGUGGAGGAGCACCCUCUUAAAGGUAAAGGGGGAAUAGGGUGGAGAACUCUGGUAUAGGGCCUAGGAAGAAGGCAACAUAUAAAGUAAUCAAAAAAAAAAAAAAAAAAAAAGAUGGUGUCUAAAGUGAACAUGGAAGCUCCUGUCCAUACUAAAGCCAAAGCCAAAGCCAACGAGAAGGCCUUGAAAGCUAAGAAGGCAGUGCUGAAAGGCCACAAAAAGAAGAUCCGAACUUCACCCUCCUUCCAGUGGCCCAAGACCCUGUAGCUCUGGAGGCAGCCAAAAUAUCCUCGAAAGAGUGCUCCCGGGAGAAACAAGAUUGACCACUCUGUCUUCUUUAUGGCUGACUCGGGGUCAGUAGGAAUUUGAUGAUAGCAGAGGACAACAACAUACUUGUGUUCAUUGUGGAUGUCAAGGCCAACAAUCAAGCAGGCCAUGAAGAAACUCUAUGACAUUGAUAUGGCCAAAGUGAAUAUACCAAUAAGGCCUAAUGUAGAGAAGACAGUAAAUGCUCACUUGUCUCUUGAUUAUGGUGCUCCAGAUGUUGCCAACAAGAUUUGGAUCAUUUAAACUGAGUCCAUAUAGCUAACUCUAGAUAUACACUUUUUUUCAACAUAAAAAAAGGUUAGAUAUCCUAGGCUACAUGUAGUAGCAGGAGAUGUUUGGAAUUUGGGCAUCUAAUUUCAGGGAGAAUCUGAUCACUUUUUUCCCCCCCUAUUUUCUAACUUUGCCUCCACCAGGUCAUGGUACUGCUGGAGAAGUAGAAACUUUCAAAUUCAGUAGGAAGAGGACAAUAACCACAAUUUUGUAGAUUGAUAUGGGUAAGGCAAAAACAGCAGGUCUUCUACUCUACGUUCUGGAAUUUAGCAUUUCUUAACUGUCAUUGCCCACAUAUGAGGAUAUUGUUGCUUUCUCAAAAUUAAGCAGCAAGGAAACUAAAAGCACUUAAACAAAUGCUAAAUAAACCAUAAGCAUUCAGUGGCAUUAUCAUCUCUAAUUGACAGUUGUAGCAUUGUGAUUCAGGAAGGUCUAAAUGAAUCUGAAUCUGUCCAAGGUCACACCAUUAGGGAUGGGUUGAGGUAAGAUUCCUGCUGUUCCAUAUUAAAUCUACACAGUCACAUUGUCUCCUUACUAGUAUUAAACUUUUCCUUAUAACAUUAUACACAUCUCCCCAAUAUCUAAAACCAAUCACUAGAAAAUCCUAAUUUUAUUCCUCCACAUAUUACAAACUCAGUUCUUAGUAUUUCCCCUAAAACAAUUCAUAUGCUGCUUUAUACACUCCUGUUGUCUUUUAUAGAGCAGUAAUAGGAGAUACAGUUCAGAGAUGGUUGAAAUAUAGUAUAGAGUGGUUAAAUAUAUUCACUCCGUUGAUGAAAUUACAGUAACUUCUGAGUUCUAAAUCUCUGUCUAAGUCUAGAGACUGUCUUCUGUUUUAUUUUCCUAAUCUUGAGACCAAGAAAAUACUAUCAGUGUUCUUUCUACCACCACAGCAAGAGACAUUUUAAUAAUUAAACACAUAUUUGUACAAGCAUAUAUAACCAAUGUGCAGUGAAAGCAAGACACUUCUCAAAUGAAGGUGGAAUUUGCCCUCAGUUUGAGUAUUUCAGAACCCUAUUAUGAAUCCUGUCAGAAGUCCACGAUACAUAUCCAAAAUGCCUUAAUUGUAUAUCUAAAGACAACAGGUUGAAUGCAUCCCCAGGAUUAUAGUGUAUAGAUGAUAAAUCCAAGCCUGUAAUAAGGGUAAGUUCAAUUAACUAUUAAUUUUAUCACUUUGGGGACAUUCAAUAAAUAGAGGUAAAUGAAUGAUUGUCUUCAGGCUGCAAAUUUGAAAGUGAAACUUGUGCACUAUUUUCUCCCUUUCUGUUUUCAGAAGCAAUGAAGGCAUGAGAAAUUGACAAAUCAAUCAUAAGUCAAGCUAGUGCACCAAAAAAUAUGUAGUCUGAAACACAGAGAAGACAAGGCACCUGUAAUAAAUACACACAAUUUCACAGACUCUGACACUUGGCAAUAAAAUAUUUAACCAAACAUGUGAGAAAAAGAAUAAAAAGAAAAUACCCAGACGCUAGUAAAAAGUAAAUGUUGUGUCCAUCUCUGACAGAACUGAUAUGUGAGAGAUUAUAGAUUACAACAUCCACUGAAAUGUAACUUCCAGAAUAGCUGGAAAAAUAGUCAGCUCUAUUAUCAACAGUGUCUAUGUGUGUACAUUUAGAGUAAUAGGCAUGAACUGAAAAUGAAAGCCACACUCAUUAUGUUUGUGUUUCUUUAGUAAAAGAGGUGUAGAUCUUAACACAGGAAGAUUCCAAAGCAGAGUUAAACAUCAAGAUCUAUGAAAGACUGCAGAUCCACCCACUGAUACACAAAUUCAUGGACAAUCAAGUCCCUUCUAUAGGAUGACAAUAUCUUUAUACAAUGUAUACAUAUAUAGAUUUCCUAUAAUGGAUAUUACAACACAAAUGUGAUAUGCAUAGUUAGUAUGUUUUAUUAAAGAAUAUUAAGAAGAGUAUCUAAUAUGUAUACAUGUUUAGUGCAAACACAGUUUCUUUCCAAAUAUUUUGAUCCAUAAUUGGUUGAGGUGGUGAAGGUAGCACCCGGUGGUUUGAAGUGUGAGUUUUGGUUAGAAAUUUCCACAUGUAUUCAAUAGGUAUUAAUAGGAUAACAUAGCUGAAGAGGUGCAUAGUCAAAUAAAUGUUUAAAAUACUGGAAUAAUAAAGAUAACAAAUUUUUCUCAGGGAUCUUAACAUUGGGAGUUUAAAGUAAGAGUUAAAAGAAUCCAGCACUACUUAAAGCCAUGCGCCCAGAGCUUUAGAGGCCUUAUGUUCUAAAUAUGAACUAUGGGGAACCUUUCUGAGAAUUACACAAACACCUCUUUUCCAUUCUGAGGCUGUGGGAGGCAGAAGCUGCCCUCGCUCCUUUCUGCCACUACUGUAUAAGAACGCAUCUGAGGUAGAUCGGUGUUCCUUGGUAAUUUGUCAAUUAAAACACAAUUCUAUAUUGCAUGCAAUCUUGAAGAAUAUGAUAGACUACUAAUAUCUUGAUGAUAUUGCCAAACAUAGUUGGUAAGACAGACUC
rnacentral:lncRNA from 1 species